UACGAAGGGGGGCUAGCGUUGCUCGGAAUCACUGGGCGUAAAGGGUGCGUAGGCGGGUCUUUAAGUCAGGGGUGAAAUCCUGGAGCUCAACUCCAGAACUGCCUUUGAUACUGAAGAUCUUGAGUUCGGGAGAGGUGAGUGGAACUGCGAGUGUAGAGGUGAAAUUCGUAGAUAUUCGCAAGAACACCAGUGACGAAGGCGGCUCACUGGCCCGAUACUGACGCUGAGGCACGAAAGCGUGGGGAGCAAACAGGG
rnacentral:rRNA from 1 species